UAUUUCUUUUAAAUCGAAAAAAACAAAAUAAAAGUCUACGAAAACAAAUUAAGUAUCUGUGAAAAUGCUCAAUCUUUUUUUAAAGAAAAACAAACUGUUUCAUCUCAACAAAUGUUAUCAUCAAUUUUCUAGUUCUUCAAAAGACAUUUGGAAAACAAAUGAAACAAAGCUAAGGUGUUUUCACACACCAAGAUCACAUCAAAGUCUCAUACUUGGAAUAGAAACUAGCUGUGAUGAUACAGGUGCCGCAAUUGUUGACUCUAAAGGCAACAUAAUAGGAGAGGCCUUGCAUUCUCAACUGCAAACCCACUUGGCUAUGGGUGGGAUUAUUCCUCCAAUAGCAAGAGAUCUACAUAUUCAAAAUAUCUCUCAAAUUGUGGAAACGGCCCUUCAAAAUGCAAAUUUAAAAGUCAAAGAUCUUGACGCUAUUGCAGCAACAGUAAAACCAGGAAUGCCGCUUUCCCUGGUAGUAGGCACUGAAUUUGCCAAGAAACUGUGCAAAACAUGGAAUGUUCCAUUCAUACCUAUUCAUCACAUGGAAGCCCAUGCCCUGACAGCUCGAAUGGUGGAAAAGGUCGAUUUCCCCUUUCUAGUGCUCUUAGUCUCUGGUGGACACUGUUUACUGGCUGUGGCGAAAAAUGUCGAUGAAUUUCUCUUGCUGGGAGAAAGCGUCGACAGUGCCCCUGGAGAAGUGCUCGAUAAAGUUGCUAGAAGACUCAAAUUGAGAAACAUGCCUGCCUUUUCUACUUUAUCCGGUGGGAAAGCUAUUGAAAUGUUGGCUACGCAAGGCGACGUUACUUCCUUUGAAUACGGAAAUCAACCAAUGUUUAAAUAUAAUGACUGUUCCUUUAGCUUCACCGGAUUGAGAGAAAAAGUCUACAAACAUAUAGGACGCGAAGAAAUCAUUCACAACACGGAAGCAGAUCAAGUGCUACCGUCUGCUGCCAACUUGUGCGCAAGUUUCCAGCACGCUCUAUUUUCCCACAUCUGCAGACGACUACAACGCGGAAUGCAUUACGUGGACAUGAAACAAAUGAUACCGGAAGGCCCAAGAAAACGGGUACGGUUUAAAAAUUACCUAGGUUGUAUCCGGAGGCGUGGCAUGCAACGACUACUUCCGCAAAUACCUGAGCAUUAUCUGCGCCGAGAUGAGCUACACCCUUGUUUGCCCACCGCCGAAGCUAUGCACCGAUAACGGAAUCAUGAUUGCGUGGAACGGAAUGGAAAAAUGGACGGCAGGUAUUGGAAUCGCCAAAAAUGCCGACGACAUCGACGCCAUAGACAUUGAACCCAAGGCGAAAUUAGGCGUCGAUAUGACAGAAGACGUGCGGAACAUGAACAUAUCUCUGAAAAAGAAGUGGAUUAAAUUGCUGCCAAAGAAAGUGAAUGUUAGUCAGUAAUAAAAAUGUCUUAAACUAA
rnacentral:misc_RNA from 1 species